AGAGUUUGAUCCUGGCUCAGAUUGAACGCUGGCGGCGUGCUUAACACAUGCAAGUCGCACGAGAACGCUUCAGCUUGCUGAAGUUAGUAAAGUGGCGCACGGGUGAGUAACGCGUGGGUAAUCUACCCCCGAAUUGGGGAUAACAUUGCGAAAGCGAUGCUAAUACCGAAUAAUAUCUUAAGAACCUCGGUUUUUAAGAUCAAAGGUGGCCUCUACAUGAAAGCUUCUGUUUGGGGAUGAGCCCGCGUACCAUUAGCUUGUUGGUAGGGUAAUGGCCUACCAAGGCUACGAUGGUUAGCUGGUCUGAGAGGAUGAUCAGCCACACUGGAACUGACACACGGUCCAGACUCCUACGGGAGGCAGCAGUGAGGAAUUUUGCGCAAUGGGGGAAACCCUGACGCAGCAACGCCGCGUGAGUGAUGAAGGCUUUCGGGUCGUAAAGCUCUGUCAAGUGGGAAGAACCCACAUGGUGAUAAUACCGCCAUGUGUUGACGGUACCACUGAAGAAGCACCGCUAACU
rnacentral:rRNA from 1 species